GACGAACGCUGGCGGCGUGCCUAACACAUGCAAGUGGAGCGACGAACCAGGCUUCGGCCUGGGGCCAAGCCGCGAACGGGUGAGUAACACGUGGGUAACCUGCCCCGAUGACCGGGACAACCCGAGGAAACUCGGGCUAAUACCGGAUGUGCUCUCCACACUCAAGUGUGGCGAGCAAAGGAAGCUUCGGCCUCCGCAUCGGGAGGGGCCCGCGGCCCAUUAGCUAGUUGGUGAGGUAGCGGCUCACCAAGGCAACGAUGGGUAGCUGGUCUGAGAGGACGAUCAGCCACACUGGGACUGAGACACGGCCCAGACUCCUACGGGAGGCAGCAGUGGGGAAUCUUGCGCAAUGCGCGAAAGCGUGACGCAGCAACGCCGCGUGGGGGAAGAAGGCCUUCGGGUUGUAAACCCCUUUCAGGAGGGACGAAGGUGCGGCGGCGAACAGCCGUCCGCACUGACGGUACCUCCACAAGAAGCCCCGGCUAACUACGUGCCAGCAGCCGCCGUAA
rnacentral:rRNA from 1 species